rnacentral:rRNA from 1 species
AGAGUUUGAUCAUGGCUCAGAUUGAACGCUGGCGGCAGGCCUAACACAUGCAAGUCGAACGGUAACAGGAAGCAGCUUGCUGCUUCGCUGACGAGUGGCGGACGGGUGAGUAAUGUCUGGGAAGCUGCCUGAUGGAGGGGGAUAACUACUGGAAACGGUAGCUAAUACCGCAUAAUGUCGCAAGACCAAAGAGGGGGACCUUCGGGCCUCUUGCCAUCGGAUGUGCCCAGAUGGGAUUAGCUUGUUGGUGGGGUAACGGCUCACCAAGGCGACGAUCCCUAGCUGGUCUGAGAGGAUGACCAGCCACACUGGAACUGAGACACGGUCCAGACUCCUACGGGAGGCAGCAGUGGGGAAUAUUGCACAAUGGGCGCAAGCCUGAUGCAGCCAUGCCGCGUGUAUGAAGAAGGCCUUCGGGUUGUAAAGUACUUUCAGCGGGGAGGAAGGGAGUAAAGUUAAUACCUUUGCUCAUUGACGUUACCCGCAGAAGAAGCACCGGCUAACUCCGUGCCAGCAGCCGCGGUAAUACGGAGGGUGCAAGCGUUAAUCGGAAUUACUGGGCGUAAAGCGCACGCAGGCGGUUUGUUAAGUCAGAUGUGAAAUCCCCGGGCUCAACCUGGGAACUGCAUCUGAUACUGGCAAGCUUGAGUCUCGUAGAGGGGGGUAGAAUUCCAGGUGUAGCGGUGAAAUGCGUAGAGAUCUGGAGGAAUACCGGUGGCGAAGGCGGCCCCCUGGACGAAGACUGACGCUCAGGUGCGAAAGCGUGGGGAGCAAACAGGAUUAGAUACCCUGGUAGUCCACGCCGUAAACGAUGUCGACUUGGAGGUUGUGCCCUUGAGGCGUGGCUUCCGGAGCUAACGCGUUAAGUCGACCGCCUGGGGAGUACGGCCGCAAGGUUAAAACUCAAAUGAAUUGACGGGGGCCCGCACAAGCGGUGGAGCAUGUGGUUUAAUUCGAUGCAACGCGAAGAACCUUACCUGGUCUUGACAUCCACGGAAGUUUUCAGAGAUGAGAAUGUGCCUUCGGGAACCGUGAGACAGGUGCUGCAUGGCUGUCGUCAGCUCGUGUUGUGAAAUGUUGGGUUAAGUCCCGCAACGAGCGCAACCCUUAUCCUUUGUUGCCAGCGGUCAGGCCGGGAACUCAAAGGAGACUGCCAGUGAUAAACUGGAGGAAGGUGGGGAUGACGUCAAGUCAUCAUGGCCCUUACGACCAGGGCUACACACGUGCUACAAUGGCGCAUACAAAGAGAAGCGACCUCGCGAGAGCAAGCGGACCUCAUAAAGUGCGUCGUAGUCCGGAUUGGAGUCUGCAACUCGACUCCAUGAAGUCGGAAUCGCUAGUAAUCGUGGAUCAGAAUGCCACGGUGAAUACGUUCCCGGGCCUUGUACACACCGCCCGUCACACCAUGGGAGUGGGUUGCAAAAGAAGUAGGUAGCUUAACCUUCGGGAGGGCGCUUACCACUUUGUGAUUCAUGACUGGGGUGAAGUCGUAACAAGGUAGCCGUAGGGGAGCCUGCGGCUG